rnacentral:rRNA from 1 species
AGAAUCAACGCUGGCGGCGUGCCUAACACAUGCAAGUCGAACGAGAAAGUGGAGCAAUCCAUUAGUAAAGUGGCGCACGGGUGAGUAACACGUGACUAACCUACCCUUGAGUGGGGGAUAACCUAGAGAAAUCUGGGCUAAUACCGCAUAAUACCUUCGGGUCAAAGGAGCAAUUCGCUUAAGGAGGGGGUCGCGGCAGAUUAGUUAGUUGGCGGGGUAAUGGCCCACCAAGACUAUGAUCGGUAUCCGGCCUGAGAGGGCGCACGGACACACUGGAACUGAAACACGGUCCAGACUCCUACGGGAGGCAGCAGUGGGGAAUUUGCGCAAUGGGGGAAACCCUGACGCAGCAACGCCGCGUGGAGGAUGAAGCCCCGUUGGGGCGUAAACUCCUUUCGAUCGGGACGAUAAUGACGGUACCGAGAGAAGAGCCCGGCUAACUUCGCGCCAGCAGCCGC